ensembl:lncRNA
UCUGUUUCAAGACAUCGUAUUUAUUUGGGGAGAAAAUUUUGUUCCGGUUUAUAAAUAAUAAUUUAUAAAGUGAGCAUCUCCCAAACAAAAUCUGGGCCACUGUAUAAAACAGACCGAAAUAAAACCAGACUAGGCUGGCUUCCCAGAGAAGGGUGGGGAUGAGGAGGGGGUGGGGUGGGAAACAGAGCACAGCACAGCACAGCAGUAACAGGAGAAGGCCCAACUGAAGAAGAAAAAAAAAUUUCAAUUGUCAAAAAGAUACAAAAUUAAACCUUGUUGCAAAAUAGAUUUUUACAGGCAGUGAUCAUAGCUGUAGACAGAGAAAGAAGCCAGACAUAAUCAAUCAAUAAUCUCUUAUUAGAAUACCACUGAGUGCUCCUAAAACAGUAGAGAGCCACUUGUCAGGCCUAAAGGUGUUGGGGAAAAUUGUCAAGGCAACCCACCACCCAAUAGGAACAGACGUAUCUUGGGCUUCUGAGGUUGUAAAAAAACUCUUGGCUAGAAUUCACUGCAGAGUGAAGAAGCAGGAGGGAGCAAGGCAUGCACACUUGUGGCCCAUCUGCACUUACAGGCCCGCCAGAGCUCUGAUAGCAAAAUCUCCCAAGGUGACGAAACCUUGAAGGCCCUAGAGGUUAAAACAAUGAAUCUGUUUCCAAUGCCUCUUUGGGUGGUUUUUUUGUUUUUUUCCACGGAAUCUCUGCUUCCCAUCUCCUUGGUUUAUUCAGCUCCUGUAAAAUACUAUGACUCGCCUAAGAAGGGGAUUACAAGAAUCCUAGACACAGAUGAAAAACUGUUCAAACCGCAAUACCAGUUUGUUCCUAACGACAUCACCCCAGUUCCUAUUUUCAAAAAGAAAUUCUUGGUAGAGGAGUACCAGAACAAUUCUCAAGGCCACACUUGGCUCAAGAAAGAUACUGCAAAUACUGACAUGGACAUGCAAGAAUCAUACACUAACUCAGAUGAAUAUGUGAAAGAUUGUUCUCUGAAGACAAGAAAAAAAGCAACUGGAGUCAAGGUUGAUAAAGUCUAAUUAUAAUAAAUUGCUUGAAUGAAAGAAAAAAAACGGAAGG